rnacentral:snoRNA from 15 species
ACUGGUCAGUGAUGAAUCUCUUAUCUGGUGGACAUGCUUUGGAUGACACUUGCGGAUAUGGGGCUGAGACCAGUC